rnacentral:rRNA from 1 species
UACGUAGGGGGCAAGCGUUGUCCGGAUUUAUUGGGCGUAAAGAGCGUGUAGGCGGCCAGGUAGGUCCGUUGUGAAAACUCGAGGCUCAACCUCGAGACGUCGAUGGAAACCCUCUGGCUAGAGUCCGGAAGAGGAGAGUGGAAUUCCUGGUGUAGCGGUGAAAUGCGCAGAUAUCAGGAAGAACACCCGUGGCGAAGGCGGCUCUCUGGGACGGUACUGACGCUGAGACGCGAAAAGCGUGGGGAGCGAACAGG